rnacentral:lncRNA from 1 species
UUGUGUUAUUCAGCAGUAUUUAUUUUACUGGUCUCUUCAGACUUUCAUAUAACGAUAAUUUAGUGUUAUGGCUAGAUAUUUCGUAGUCUAUCUUCAGGGAGUAAAGACGUGUCAUUUUAUCAGAGAAUGUUACCAUUUGUAUAUUGAUUUGUUUGCAUACAUAUAAUGGCAUAAAACUGCCUCUUAAACGCACUGGGGAAAUUCUUGUAUUCUUAGUUUUUUUUAACUAUAUUAGAACUUUGAUAAAGUAUGAAUUAUAUUGUUUGGG